rnacentral:rRNA from 1 species
UUUUUUUUUUUCAAAUUAUUCCGCAGACGAACGCUGGCGGCGUGCCUAAUACAUGCAAGUCGUACGCUUCUUUUUCCACCGGAGCUUGCUCCACCGGAAAAAGAAGAGUGGCGAACGGGUGAGUAACACGUGGGUAACCUGCCCAUCAGAAGGGGAUAACACUUGGAAACAGGUGCUAAUACCGUAUAACAAUCGAAACCGCAUGGUUUUGAUUUGAAAGGCGCUUUCGGGUGUCGCUGAUGGAUGGACCCGCGGUGCAUUAGCUAGUUGGUGAGGUAACGGCUCACCAAGGCCACGAUGCAUAGCCGACCUGAGAGGGUGAUCGGCCACAUUGGGACUGAGACACGGCCCAAACUCCUACGGGAGGCAGCAGUAGGGAAUCUUCGGCAAUGGACGAAAGUCUGACCGAGCAACGCCGCGUGAGUGAAGAAGGUUUUCGGAUCGUAAAACUCUGUUGUUAGAGAAGAACAAGGAUGAGAGUAACUGUUCAUCCCUUGACGGUAUCUAACCAGAAAGCCACGGCUAACUACGUGCCAGCAGCCGCGGUAAUACGUAGGUGGCAAGCGUUGUCCGGAUUUAUUGGGCGUAAAGCGAGCGCAGGCGGUUUCUUAAGUCUGAUGUGAAAGCCCCCGGCUCAACCGGGGAGGGUCAUUGGAAACUGGGAGACUUGAGUGCAGAAGAGGAGAGUGGAAUUCCAUGUGUAGCGGUGAAAUGCGUAGAUAUAUGGAGGAACACCAGUGGCGAAGGCGGCUCUCUGGUCUGUAACUGACGCUGAGGCUCGAAAGCGUGGGGAGCAAACAGGAUUAGAUACCCUGGUAGUCCACGCCGUAAACGAUGAGUGCUAAGUGUUGGAGGGUUUCCGCCCUUCAGUGCUGCAGCUAACGCAUAAGCACUCCGUCCUGGUAG